UGAAGGCCCUCGGGUUGUAAACCGCUGUCGUAGGGGAGGAAGGUUCCGUGAAGAGCGGAAUUUGACCUAUCCUAGGAGGAAGUACGGGCUAAGUUCGUGCCAGCAGCCGCGGUAACACGAACCGUACGAACGUUAUUCGGAAUUACUGGGCUUAAAGGGUUUGUAGGCGGCCUUGUAAGUCAGGUGUGAAAAGCCCCUCGGCUCAACCGAGGAACAGCGCUUGAUACUGCAAGGCUUGAGGGAGACAGGGGUAAGCGGAACUGAUGGUGGAGCGGUGAAAUGCGUUGAUAUCAUCAGGAACACCGGUGGCGAAAGCGGCUUACUGGGUCUCUUCUGACGCUGAGGAACGAAAGCUAGGGGUAGCGAACGGGAUUAGAUACCCCGGUAGUCCUAGCUGUAAACGAUGAGCACUUAUCUGGGGAUCCUCCCAUAGGUUCCCGGAUGUAGCGAAAGUGUUAAGUGCUCCGCCUGGGGAGUAUGGUCGCAAGGCUGAAACUCAAAGAAAUUGACGGGGGCUCACACAAGC
rnacentral:rRNA from 1 species